AGACAUUACGGGAGGCAGCAGUAGGGAAUCUUGCGCAAUGGGCGAAAGCCUGACGCAGCGACACCGCGUGGGGGAUGAAGGGCUUCGGCUUGUAAACCCCUUUCAUGAGGGAAGAACACUGACCUAACCUCAGGAAGAAGCACCGGCUAACUCCGUGCCAGCAGCUGCGGUAAUACGGAGAGUGCGAACGUUGUUCGGAUUCACUGGGCGUAAAGGGCACGUAGGCGGCUCGGCAAAUCGGUCGUGGAAUCCCGACGCUUACCGUCGGAACGGCGGCCGAAAAUACCGGGCUUGAGGGCGUGAGGGGUCACUGGAACUCCCGGUGAAGCGGUGAAAUGCGUAGAUAUCGGGAGGAACGCCGGAGGCGAAAGCGAGUGACUGGCGCGUUCCUGACGCUGAGGUGCGAAAGCUAGGGGAGCAAACAGGAUUAGAUACCCUGGUAGUCCUAGCCGUAAACGAUGGACACUGAGUGAAGGGGGGCUUGCCCCUCUUUGCUAGCAGCUAACGCGUUAAGUGUCCCGCCUGGGGAGUACGGCUCGUCAAGGUUCCAAACUCGAAAGGAAUU
rnacentral:rRNA from 1 species